rnacentral:lncRNA from 1 species
AGUAAGCUUGGAUACCCCAGUACAUUGCACCCUUAGCUUGUUCUUCUUGUUCUCUUUCCUUUCUUAAAGGAUUGACAUCCAGAAGAAGAUCCUCCCAUAACAUUCAUCGACUUCUUAUGGAGCUGGUGAUCCUUCUCAAAAUUUUGCAAUAAUCCCAAUAAACCAUGGUAGUUGACUGCAGGCUUUGUCAUUCGAAAAUAAGUAAGAAAAGGGAGGUAGAACUUGGGCAGAG